rnacentral:misc_RNA from 1 species
GAUGAAGAACGUAGCGAAAUGCGAUACGUAAUGUGAAUUGCAGAAUUCAGUGAAUCAUCGAAUCUUUGAACGCAUAUUGCGCUCUCUGGUAUUCCGGAGAGCAUGCUUGUUUGAGUAUCAGUAAACACCUCAACUUCCAUAUCUUUUUUGAAAUGGGAGUUGGACUUGAGUGAUCCCAACGCUUUUCCUCACCGAAAAGUGGCGGGUUACUUGAAAUGCAGGUGCAGCUGGACUUUUCUCUGAGCUAUAAGCAUAUCUAUUUAGUCUGCCUAAAAAACAGAUUAUUACCUUUGCUGCAGCUAACAUAAAGGAGAUUAGUUCUUGUGCUGACUGAUGCAGGAUUCACAAAGACAGGCUUCGGCCGACUUUGCAAACUCGAUCUCAAAUCAAGUAAGACUACCCGCUGAACUUAAGCAUAUCAAUAAGCGGAGGA